GUUCAAGGUCAAAUCGCUGCUUUAUACAAACAGACAAUGAUCGAAAAAAACAUUUACAAAAAAUGUAAACUCCCUAUUACCAGCAUUGAUAUUAAUAAAUAUAUAUUCACAAAAAAAGACUAUAUAUCCAGAAUACCAUACCCUAUUAUAACUUAAGCGUUAAGUUUACGAAUGACUCAAUGAUAAAAACUUUAUUAUUGUUUUCUAAUUGAUUAAAUUGAAAAUAUGCCUCGUCUAGAAGUGUAUCUGUUAUAUCUGUGCGUGUUUUUACUGUCUAGUAACUUGCUAGGCCCUGAAGCUCUGAAGAAAAAGCGAAAAAUUACAACUGAAAGUGAUGAUGACUUGGACACAAAAAAUACAGAUACUAUGUACAGUACUAUACAGAUAUUUGAAGAGUACAUUGAUGCUCUUAGAAAUAGUAGCGAUGUUCCCGAAGACUGGGGAAAUAAUAAGGAUAAUAAUUUGGAUAAAGUGGAGUACUAUCUUAAAUUGUUGAAGAAAGGCCUUCUAAGGCAUAUAUUGACAGCAACAUGUAAAACCGAAGGGGACAUUAAGAAAUUUAAUGAAGUUCUUCAAGAUAUUAUGGAUAGUCUGCCACCACUGGUUCAGGAAAAGGAGCAUGAACUACCAUCCGAGUUAAAAGAAGCCAAAGAACUGUAUGAAGCAGCAUUGCUGACACUGCUUAGACAGACUCCCGAGUUUUACAGACUCGUGUUUAAAGUUCGGCUACCUAAUGACACUAUGGACUAUAUCCUGGGUAAGAUGAAGUUAGUCUGGUCAUAUCUGACCGGCAAAGGCUAUGAAUGGGAAUUAGAAAAGAUUAAGGCCGAUCUUCACAGAGCUAUGCUUCAACUGAAAAAGGCUGCCGACACAGGCUACGCCCCCGCUAAGAUCAAGCUGGCCUGGUCCUACCUGUUUGGAGAAAACAUAGAAAUGGACUUCGAAAGGGCUAAGAACAUAUUUGAGGAGAUGGCUGCUGAAGGAAACGCUGACGCUCAUGCUGGCAUGGGCUUCCUAUACGCGACCGGUAUAGCAGUCCCGGUGUCUCAGGCCAAAGCGCUAGUACACUACAUGAUGGGAGCGCUUGCGGACAGCGAUUUCGCACAGAUGGCGCUGGCGUACCGAUACUGGAGCGGUAACACUGUGCCCAGCUCUUGUCCCAAGGCCAUGGACUUGUAUAUGAGGGUAGCAGACAAGGUGGCCAGUAACAUGGAAGGCGCCGGUCCAGGCAACAUUGACCCCGAGCGCGACGGUUUCGAAUCUACCAAUAUCACAGAGUACUACCAGCAGCUCGCUGAGAAAAAAAUUAGAGAGAAACAGGCACAGCCAGAUUACGAACGUGAUCUGCGGUACUUCGAGGAAGCUGCAAAAUUCGACAAUCCAGUCGCACAGGUUGGGUUGGGUGUUAUGUAUCUAAAGGGUCGUGGCGUUCCGAAGGAUCCAAAAACAGCGUUUAAAUAUUUCACGAUGGCGGCCAACCAAGGAUGGGCAGAGGGACAGCUGCAACUUGGUAUUAUGUACUUGACACUUCAUGAACGUGUCGAAGCGAGGUCCGUGGGCCACUCGUAUACUGGACGCGCACAACAGUGGGUACCCGCGGGGCGUGGACUCCGAGGUACUGCAGCGCCUGUGGCUGGCUGAACUAGGAUACAGCUCCCAACAGUGGACAGCGGCCGUCAUGCUCGAGACAAGUAACCACCAUUUGUUCAAUGAACCAGAGAUACAAGCGCGCUACCGGCAACUGGUGACACGGAGUAAGGUUGCACGCCAGGACCAGUCCAUCAACUCAAUCAUUAAAUACGAAUUAUCGAGUGAUGAUGAAUAAUAUCCGUGUAGACAGGGUACUUGAAAACUCAAAUCUCUAGUCCAACAAUUGCUAAGUUUUCCUGAUUUUUGUGUGUUAAUUCAUUUUUAAAUCUCAAACACUGAAACAGUAAAGUACAAUAUGUUUUACAGUUGGUAAUUCUGUCAUGCACUAUAA